rnacentral:misc_RNA from 1 species
AAGAUAAAGUUCACCAUCAUACUGCGAAAGAGAUGAGUAAAUUUAUUGUAUAAUUGCAUUUAAGAAGAACAGGGAAACUAAACUAGAAUGACUAUUUAUUUUCUCAAACUGGAAAUGCAUAAUAAAAAUGGUGGGAAAAUCAGUACCACAGUAUUGGCAGCUAUACUGCAUAUUGCAAAAGUAGACCCUAGUUCAUAACUAACCUUAAACAUA